UGCGUAGGCGGUCUUUCAAGCCAGAAGUGGAAGGCUACGGCUCAACCGUAGUAAGCUUUUGGAACUGUAAGACUUGAGUGCAGGAGAGGAGAGUAGAAUUCCUAGUGUAGCGGUGAAAUGCGUAGAUAUUAGGAGGAAUACCAGUAGCGAAGGCGGCUCUCUGGACUGUAACUGACGCUGAGGCACGAAAGCAUGGGGAGCAAACA
rnacentral:rRNA from 1 species